CCUACGGGAGGCAGCAGUGAGGAAUAUUGGUCAAUGGGCUUACGCCUGAACCAGCCAAGUCGCGUGAGGGAAGACUGCCCUAUGGGUUGUAAACCUCUUUUGUCAGGGAGCAAGUGGCGCUACGUGUAGCGUUAUCGAGAGUACCUGAAGAAAAAGCAUCGGCUAACGCCGUGCCAGCAGCCGCGGUAAUCCGGAGGAUGCGAGCGUUAUCCGGUUUUAUUGGGUUUAAAGGGUGCGUAGGCGGAAUGCCAAGUCAGCGGUAAAAGCGCGGGGCUCAACCUCGCUCCGCCGUUGAAACUGGCGUUCUUGAGUGGGCGAGAAGUAUGCGGAAUGCGUGGUGUAGCGGUGAAAUGCAUAGAUAUCACGCAGAACUCCGAUUGCGAAGGCAGCAUACCGGCGCCACACUGACGCUGAAGCACGAAAGCGUGGGUAUCGAACAGGAUUAGAUACCCGGGUAGUC
rnacentral:rRNA from 1 species